UCCUAGUUAACCUAGGCAGUCUCGCUAGAGUGCCCACCAUCACGUGUUGGCAACUAACGACAAGGGUUGCGCUCGUUGCGGGACUUAACCCAACACCUCACGGCACGAGCUGACGACAGCCAUGCAGCACCUGUUCACAUGUCUCUUGCGAGAAAACUACAUCUCUGUAGUCGUCAUGUGUAUGUCAAGCCCAGGUAAGGUUCUUCGCGUUGCAUCGAAUUAAACCACAUGCUCCACUGCUUGUGCGGGUCCCCGUCAAUUCUUUUGAGUUUUACCCUUGCGAGCGUACUCCCCAGGCGGUAUACUUAUCGCGUUAGCUACGGUACUGUCGGGGUUGAGCCCAACAACACCAAGUAUACAUAGUUUAGGGCAAGGACUAC
rnacentral:misc_RNA from 1 species